CUCCCCCGAAAUGCUGUACUCAUUGCAGCACUGCUGCUCACUUGUGUUUUCUUAGCGUUGCCAUGCAGGCUUUCUGCAGCUGUAGGUAGAGGCGUGCUGCCAGCAGUGCUGUAAUAUCCAUCGAGGGCCACCCAGAGGUUGUCCAAGAAGGAAACGCAACUAUUUCCAACUGAGCUCGGAGUCACGUCAAAGAUUUAAUUGGGAAGUUCAAAGGAAGCGUCGGAGGCUCUUUUGAUCUCUGAGUGAACGCCACGUUGCAUCGGUGCCUGCUGGCCACGGCGGUGACCUCUCGUGUUAAUUAGUGCUUAUCUGAAAUCGAAUUAGCUCACAACCGGGAGAAAGCAGAGUGAAAAUCAGAGGAUAAUCACGGAUUUGUGUGGUUCUCACUUAGAGCCCGCGCUGCCUUCAUCUUUGCUGAGUCUGCUGCUCCACGCUGCUCACUGGAACUUAAACCAUAAACCAACACUGAACAAUGAUGCAUUAUUUAUAGCAGACCGAAUGCUGUAAGGUUGACAAUGGUGCAAAGCUUCUCUUUCUUGUGGUCAGUAAUCCAUAAAUAAAUACAUCAUCUAUUGAGGGCUGCAGGACUGUCAGAUGGAUGGGAAUUGCCUGUGUUAUACAAGGAGGGCGUGGGGGAUGCUGUGAGAGCCAGCACCUGCUUCUGCUGCCAGUUGGCUAUUUCUGAGUAA
ensembl:lncRNA